CUUUGAUAUUUUUUUUCUGUAACUGCGGUUGCCGACAACUGAGUUUUUGGGUGGCGUCUCUGAGGGGGUGGUUUUUGACGGGUUCAAGUUUGUUUACUAACAUUUCAAGACUUCAAUGCAAAACUUGCUUCCAAUCUUUUGUGUGAUUAAAUGCAUGUAGUUAUUGUGAAGAUUAGAUACGGUCGUUCUUGGAGGCGAUAUUCCACAAAUGUUUGAGUAGUGACGAGGAAUUUUCCACGAGCUUUUAUUAGAACAGUCGUUUUGGGGUAUUUUAUGGAGUGAAUGACCCUCAGGGAACAGUAAACUCAACUAUUGAAUAUCUGAAGCAAACUUACCGGGUAUCGAGCUAACCGCGAAAACUACUAUAAAUUUCAACGCACGUCAACAAGAUAACAAUAAAACGUACAAAAACUGAA